rnacentral:lncRNA from 1 species
UUUUUUUUUUUUUGUCUUUUAAGGGCUGCACUUGCAGCAUAUGUAAGUUCCCAGGCUAGGGAUCGAAUUGGAGCUGUAGCUGCCGGCUUGUGCCACAGCCACAGAAACACCAGAUCCGAGCUACAUUUGCAACCUACACCACAGCUCAUGGCUCAGAUCUGAGCCACAUCCACGAUCUACGCCACAGCUUGUGGCAACACUGGAUCCUUAACCCACUGAGUGAGGCCAGGGAUCAAACCCACGUUCUCAUGGAUACUAAUUGGGUUUGUAACCCACUGAACCACAGUGGGAACUUCCUUUAAUGAUUAUUCUUAAUGCUUUCUGUGAGUUAGGAGAUGGUAAAGUAAAGAUGAACUGGAGGCUUCUUUCUUGUAGAGACUCAUAGUACAUAUACUGGGGUGGUGAAGAUGGCAUUAAACACCCAUAUUGUAUGUGACUGGUGCUAUAGUCAAAGUGAGCUCCAAGUAUUGAUGGAACACUCAGGGCUCAAUUGAUUCUGAUUGGGAGAGUCAGGAAAUACAUUCCUAGAAAGUGACAUUUGAGUGGGGUCUUGAGGAUGAGGUUGGGGGGGGGCAUUCCAAACUAGGCUGCGUGUUUGGGGAUUGGCUUGGCUGGGGUAAGUGGUACUGAGUUCCCUGUAGAAGAAGCAGAAGAUGGUAUGGUGAGCUCUAGACCACAAGGCCAGUCUAGAGAGCUAGUGGGGAAUCCCAUGUUCAAGGGACAUUAUGUAAGAUAAACCUUAAGGGGAAUAGACCCUGGGAUGUGGGGUUUGGAAAUGGUAAGAGAUCAGGCUGGGAGGUAAAUUCAUGGAGAACCUUAUGUGACAUGCCAAUUUGUUUUUCCUCUCUCAUGCAAUGAGGAAAACUGGUAGCCUUUUUUUUUUUUUUUAGUGGAAUAGAUAUAGAUCCAUUUGAUUGAUUGUGGAGGAUAAUUUGGAGAAGAGAAUUUGAGGAAAAUAGUUCAGCAGCUAUUUGAGUAAUCUAGAUGAAAGAUAAUGAAUGUUUGAACAUGGGCUGUGAUGAAAGAGAGACGCCAGGGUUCCUGUUUUCUCAGGGCUUGUGCAUAUUUUGUGGGGGCACGAAAGAAUUGGGCUCCAAUCAAGAGCGGUAUUUUAAAUGUGCACCGUGCUUUCAAAGAACAGCUGCAACAUCAAGUCCAAUAUCUACUAAGAUACAUUCUGGGGUAGGCGUUUUUGACCAAGUGUUGGGUAUGAUUGAUCCUGUGUUGAUUUUGUCUUCCCAGCAGACUUAAGAGGGAGAUGGGGCUUCUAUGAUUGCCAUUCUGCAGAGGAAGGACCAGCUUGAGAGUCGAAGGGAUACUCAAGUCCAUGCUGCCAGGGAGGGACAGAAUCUGGACUUGAGCUUGACUUCCUCUUCUCUGGUAGCUGCUCUUUCCAGGAGACUGGGAUUAACUCCACAUGUGUCGGAACAUCAAAUGCAUGAUGAAUAGGGAGAGCCUACUGAAUGAUUUCAGAAGCAGGAGAAAGACACACUGUCAAGAGCCAUCAGGGAUGUGGUUUUGAAGGAAGCUGGCCUUGGCCUGAGUCUUGAAAGCUGCAGGGUGAGGUUGGACUCCAAGAAGCAGAGGAGCUAGGCUGCUGUGUGCCCAGUGGUACCAGUGGUAAGGAAGCAUAGGUAUUAAUUACCCCCUGUCAUUUCUGGGGCAACAUAACUCUGAUUUUAAUUAAUUAGUGAAAUAUUUAUUUUGCCCUUGCUCUAUUCCAGGAACUAUCUGGGGUCAAGAGACGCUGACAUUCAUGAGGCCAGAAUCUAGCUUUGAGAAAGAGAUCAUCUGUUAGAGAUGAUAGGGCUGUGGGCCCAGAAACCACAGGACCUGGGUCUGAAUUCUGAAACCAAUGUUUAGUAGGGUAGAUUUUUUUUUCUUUUUAUAGCCCCACCUGCAGCAUAUGGAAGCCCUUGGACCAGGGAAGGGGUCAAAUCGGAGCUGCAGCUGUGACCUACACCACUGCUAAUGGCCAUGCUGGAUAUUUAACCCACUAAGCAAGGCCAGGGAUUGAACCCACAUCCUUACAGAGACAACAUCAGGUCCUUUAUCCACUGAGCCACAACAGGAACUCCAUAGCUGGGUAGCUUCUAAAGUGUCCCUGAAUCUCUCUGAUCCUCAGCUUCUCCAUCUGUACAGCUCAGUUAGUGGUUUGCAAAUCACGCAGUUGUUACAAAGAGCAGAGUUAAUGUGUUAAUAUGCUUUGUACGGUUCAAAGCACAGAACAUCUACGAAAGCCCGAGCCAUUAUUAUUAUUGUUAUUGUCUGGGAUUUCUCAGUCUUGUAAGAGAGUGUGGAGAGGAAUGACUAAGUGUGAGCCAACUUCCAGAAAUCAGCUGAUGGACAAACAAAAGUCUCGAUGGCCCGGGGAGUUCUGCUGAGAGACCUGGAAGCACAGUGCUGAUGCCGGCAGGGAUCCUAGCAGUCAUCGCACUCCACUCACCGUCCACGUUACAGGAGGGAAAGCAGCUACUGCCUUGAAUCCCGCCAGAUGCUCCGAAAGCCUUGGAAGGAAUGGAUGGCCUGUCCCAGAAAUCCACAGGACACUGUGAGCAGGAAAACAAGACCAACCCCUCAGGAAGUUGUCAGACCAAAUUCUUACCUAUCACUUUAGUCAUCCAUUCAUCCAUGUGUCCAACCUGUUUGUGCUCCAAGCCAGGCAUUAGACGGGAUGCUAGUUACACAGAGCAAAAAUGAAACUACUGCCAAAACCUCCAGACACAGGGAUUUCUUCCUGCACCUUAAACAGGCAACAACACCUCCUGAAGGCCUCCUAUGUCCCCAGCGCUGUGGCAGUAGGGAAACUGAGUCAGAAACUAAGGUGGAGCCCGUACUCUGUAGCAGGUGCCUGUUCAUGGGGAAAAAGAAUCCAGGCAUCACUGAAACUGCUUCGAGUACCAGUAAGUUUGCUUUCGGCCUUAGCAUGGACCAACCUUUGGUGUUGCCUACAACGGGAAGAAUGAAUUGGCUGCAUCCAGAGCACCUGCUCAUGUGUGAAAAUGAAGAACCGCGGUGCAACUCCAGGUGGUCUCUGCCUCAGCAUCACUGCCUGAAUAUCCUUUUUCGUCUUUUUCUUUUUUAA